GGUGGUGGGGUUAAUGAGGGUAGAAAAGAUCAUGGUUUUGGAUGGUUGGGGGGGGGUAUCUGAGAUGGUGGUGAACAGCUGUCUUGAAGACUUGGAGGGAAGAAUGAGAUUGAAGAGUAUGUGGAAGUUGGUUCCAGACGUGGGAGAACAGAGGAACAAACAAGUGGAGAUAUCACAUCCACAUACCCCACUAUGUCGAAUGUGCCCCAGCCGACACGCUCAUUCUCAGCGUGGCUGUCACAGCGGGGAAUGGCUCCACGAUUUGGUUGUGCAGUCGCACGCUAUCUGGGCAUCCGAGACCUUGCUGAUUUGCGUGCCUGUGCCGAGGAACCAACCAUUCGUGCAGAAUUUUUGGAUGCCGCACGACAGCGUCUCCCAUUCGCUUCAUAUGCCGCGCUCAGACGCCUCGUAAAGACUAUGGCUGUGCCAAUGCUGCACUCACCCAUUGAGACGUCACUUGGUCCGGGUGAGGUACGGCCAUUGGCUCCUGCACUGCUCGAAGCCAUCGUGGUGACCCUCAGCACGCUGAGCCAGGAGCUGUUGCAAGCGGCACACAGGUUUGCAGCAUUGGACCCAGGAUUGGAUUUAGGGGUGGAUAUGGGUUUUACAGAUGUUCAGGACACGGACAUUAAUCCCGCCUGUUCGACUGCUAUUCACGAUGAUGUGGAGGAGGAAGAGGAAAUGCUUGAGGAGUCAUCCCAGGGCCAUUACGCACCUGGUGUGUGUUGUGCAGAUCCCAUUGCAUCUGCAAAUAACAAAGAUCAUGGUGAGCAGACAUGGUCUGCAGACAGAGAGGGUUCCUGGGAGACAGUACAAGUGAAGAGAGAAGUCAACGGGGAAGCUGAUCCCCAGCCUGUGCCAAAGGAGGUGGCAGAUGAGGAUGCUAAUACCGGUGGUGGUGGUGGUGGUGAUUGUAUUGGAAGUGGUGCUACCCUGGAGUGGAAGGUGGAUGUGGACUCGGGGGG
rnacentral:lncRNA from 1 species